rnacentral:rRNA from 1 species
AACGAACGCUGGCGGCGUGCCUAACACAUGCAAGUCGUGCGAGAAAGUUCCUUCGGGAGCGAGUAAAGCGGCGCACGGGUGAGUAACACGUAGGUAACCUGCCCCCCAGUCUGGAACAACUAGAGGAAACUCUAGCUAAUGCCGGAUGAGACCACGAUCCCUUCGGGGUUGCGGCCAAAGAUGGCCUCUACUUGUAAGCUAUCGCUGAGGGAUGGGCCUGCGGGCCAUUAGCUUGUUGGUGAGGUAACGGCUCACCAAGGCUGUGAUGGCUAGCUGGUCUGAGAGGAUGACCAGCCACACUGGGACUGAGACACGGCCCAGACUCCUACGGGAGGCAGCAGUGGGGAAUAUUGCGCAAUGGGCGAAAGCCUGACGCAGCGACGCCGCGUGAGUGAUGAAGGCCUUAGGGUUGUAAAGCUCUUUUACCCGGGGAUGAUAAUGACAGUACCGGGAGAAUAAGCCCCGGCUAACUCCGUGCCAGCAGCCGCGGUAAU